rnacentral:rRNA from 1 species
GACGUAGGGGACGAGCGUUGUCCGGAUUUAUUGGGCGUAAAGCGCGCGCAGGCGGUUGCACAAGUCGGGUGUGAAAAUCCGGGGCUCAACUCCGGACCUGCACCCGAUACUGUGCGACUAGAGGUAGGUAGGGGAGAUCGGAAUUCCUGGUGUAGCGGUGAAAUGCGCAGAUAUCAGGAAGAACACCGGUGGCGAAGGCGGAUCUCUGGGCCGUAACUGACGCUGAGGAGCGAAAGCAUGGGGAGCGAACAGG